CCAGGCUCCUGUGCUUAAUCUUUCUUAACUGGAUCAUCAGUGCUUGGGAAAUGGGCAGGAUAACAAUUUAAAGAGAUAAUUGACUGCACAAAUCAGCUCAUCCCUUCAAGGGAUAAAUUUUCUCACACUUUCUGGUUCUGUAAUAGGUCAGGGCUGUUGGAGACAGAGCUGGCUUUUUCCCUGAUGUCCAGGGUCCUGAAAUGAAGUAUGGCUGGGCCACUUGACUGGGAGUGCAGUUACAGAAGCCAAUGCUGGUGCUGCAGAGAGCGCAAUGCCCAAAGUGGGUGCAUCUCUGAUGGUGUAAAGGAUGAAGAACAAGCUCUGAGGAAGGUUAGCAGGAAGCUCGAUUCAAGUCACCAGCAGAAAACAGAGUUGCCUUCAUGUCUUUACUCUCAAGGUUCUGCAGCUUGCCAUAGCGGAAACCUGAAUCUUGUUAAAUGGAGAUGGGCAAUACAGGCAAUGGAUCCUUCAGGUCUCCUUCUUCCAAGCAAAUGUAGCCCUGGGAACACUUUCAUUGAAAAGAAAGAAGAGACAAAGUGACUGGUGACUGGUGAUACAAAAUCAGAAUAGGGAUA
rnacentral:lncRNA from 1 species